rnacentral:tRNA from 2 species
GACUCGUUAGCUCAGCUGGUAGAGCACAACACUUUUAAUGUUGGGGUCAUGGGUUCGAGCCCCAUACGAGUCACAA